rnacentral:rRNA from 1 species
GUGCCAGCCGCCGCGGUAAUACGGAGGGUGCAAGCGUUAUCCGGAUUCACUGGGUUUAAAGGGUGCGUAGGAGGGCAGGUAAGUCAGUGGUGAAAUCCCCGAGCUUAACUUGGGAACUGCCGUUGAUACUAUCUGUCUUGAAUAUUGUGGAGGUAAGCGGAAUAUGUCAUGUAGCGGUGAAAUGCUUAGAUAUGACAUAGAACACCAAUUGCGAAGGCAGCUUGCUACACAACUAUUGACUCUGAUGCACGAAAGCGUGGGGAUCAAACAGGAUUAGAAACCCGUGUAGUCC